AUGUUUCUUCUAUCUCUAGGUGAAUACAGACUUUCUGAUAUGGAGAAGUAUGCUACAGAGAAUCAGGAUCUAUUGAUAGAGAUACUAGAAAAAUAUAUGGAACCCAGUGCAUUUAAAGCACUGAAAGAAGAACUGGCCAUGAGAAAACUGAAGAGUGUGUUUUCAUUUAAAGCUGCACAUUUUCACAGUCUUAUCACAAACCAAAAGCUAAAAAAAUUUUUGAGUAAAGAUGGGGAAAAUCCAUCACCUAAGAUGCUCUCCAAAAUCCUUGAUUCAUUGUUCUUCCCUUGUCAAAGUAAUAAAAAAAACACAGCAUUGAAUCAGCCAAGAGAGAAGAGGCCAAUCACUUCUAGUCCUGAUUCAACAGGUGAACAGAAACUAGGCAAUGAAAGGGAAAAAUUGGCAACUGAUAAAGUAAAAGGGAAUGCACAAAUAUCCAAUAAAGGCAUCUUCAUCAAGAAUGAUAAUUUUUAUGCUGCUGAGCAGGAACCAGAAGUAAAAACAAAGGAAUCACAACUUAAAGAUGAGAAAAAUGAGGGAGAAGGAGAUGAAAGGAAAGAAUUCCCAGAAAAUAAGCAGAAAGGGGAUCCCCAAAUCUCCAAGGAGAACACCUUCAAUGAGGAACCUGAUGUUGAUUGUAAUGGAGAAGGAGAUGAAAAGAAAGAGGAACAAAGGAAUUUCAUGAAGAUGGAACCUGUAGAAGAAAGUAAAAAAGACACAAUUGGAUACAAUAAAAGAACAAAGAAAGAGGUACCGGAAAAUGAACCCUAUGAGAAUUUAACAAGGGCCAUUAGGAAACAUUAUGAAGGAAAAAAAGUACUGUAUCAAAUAUGGGAUAAUAUUGAGCACAAAAUUUAUAAAUGCUUUAUAGCCCAAGAUGUGAUACUAUUUAAGUUGGAAGAGGAAACAGACUACCGUAUAUUGCGAAAUCUGCAAGAUGCCAAAGAUCUUAAUAAGAAUGGUUUGCCGAAAAACAAUGUGGAAUUUGAAUUGCAGUUUAACAUGGCUGUUUUAGGUGUUCAAUAUUCUGAAUGCAUAUCUAUAAACAAUCUAAAGAGAGUGAAGGCUAAUUCUUUCAGAAAACAUGAAGAGGAUUUUGAAAAUAUUGUGUCAGAAAUUGUAUUGCCUGUUCUAGCUCUUUAUAAGAGAGUGAAGCUCAAUACGUACUUUGCAGAGUCUUUGGAGCAGAAGAGCAAAUGA
rnacentral:lncRNA from 1 species